rnacentral:rRNA from 1 species
CCCUUAGAUGUUCUGGGCUGCACGCGCGCUACACUGAAGCUAUCAACACGUUUUCCCUCCCUGAGAAGGGCGGGUAACCUUUUGAAUCAGCUUCGUGGUAGGGAUCGGGGCUUGCAAUUGUUCCCCGUGAACCAGGAAUUCCUAGUAGACGCGAGUCAUAAGCCCGCAUCGAUUAAGUCCCUGCCCUUUGUACACACCGCCCGUCGCUACUACCGAUUGAACGUUUUAGUGAGGCAUUUGGACCGACGCAUCUCAGUUUAACCGCUGGUUUGUGUUGGAAAGACUUCCAAACUUGAGCGUUUAGAGGAAGUAAAAGUCGUAACA